UUGAAUACUGGUUUCCGUGUCAAACGCUCUAAAGGCCGCGCCCAUGACGUUUGACCUGAGCAUAUGCUCGCAGGGUACAGCUGGAAACGGCUAUGCCUUCCAUUUUGAGAAGGGAACAAAAAAGUGCAGGA
rnacentral:ncRNA from 2 species